rnacentral:rRNA from 1 species
UACGUGGGGUGCGAGCGUUGUCCGGAAUUAUUGGGCGUAAAGAGCUUGUAGGCGGUUUGUCGCGUCUGACCGUGAAAAUCCGGGGCUCGAACCCCGGACUUGCGGUGGGUACGGGCAGGACUAGAGUGUGGUAGGGGAGACUGGAAUUCCUGGUGUAGCGGUGAAAUGCGCAGAUAUCAGGAGGAACACCGAGUGGCGAAGGCAGGUCUCUGGGCCACUACUGACGCUGAGAAGCGAAAGCGUGGGGAGCGAACAGG